rnacentral:snRNA from 1 species
GUGCUUGCUUCUGAAGCACAUAUACUAAAAUUGGAACCAUACAGAGAAGAUUAGCAUGGCCCCUGUGCAAGGAUGAUAUGCAAAUUUGUGAAGCGUUCCAUAUUUUU